rnacentral:rRNA from 1 species
ACAAUCAAGUAGAAUAAAAUUCUAAUGAAACAAAAACGAUAAAAAAUAAAUUGAUGCCUACCCAGUGCUGGAAGGUUAAGGAAGUUGGUGACCUGAUGAUAGGGGAGCCGGCAACUGAAGCCCUGGUGAACGGCGGGCGUAACUAUAACAAUCCUAAGGUAGUGAAAUUCUUUGUUGGGUAAGUUCUAACCCGCACGAAAGGUGUAA